rnacentral:rRNA from 1 species
CCUACGGGUGGCUGCAGUGGGGAAUAUUGCACAAUGGGGGAAACCCUGAUGCAGCGACGCCGCGUGAAGGAAGAAGUAUUUCGGUAUGUAAACUUCUAUCAGCAGGGAAGAAAAUAACGGUACCUGACUAAGAAGCCCCGGCUAACUACGUGCCAGCAGCCGCGGUAAUACGUAGGGGGCAAGCGUUAUCCGGAUUUACUGGGUGUAAAGGGAGCGUAGGCGGUGAUGCAAGUCAGAAGUGAAAGCCCGCAGCUCAACUGCGGGACUGCUUUUGAAACUGUAUGACUAGAGUGCAGGAGAGGUAAGUGGAAUUCCUAGUGUAGCGGUGAAAUGCGUAGAUAUUAGGAGGAACACCAGUGGCGAAGGCGGCUUACUGGACUGUAAAUGACGCUGAGGCUCGAAAGCGUGGGGAGCAAACAGGAUUAGAUACCCGAGUAGUC